UUUUGGUUUCUCAAUUUGUUUAAAACUUGCCGUGCUAUCCUUGUUGAAUUGUACAAAAGAUCUCUUGCCCUAUCAAGCUCAGCAAAUGCUUCAGCAAUGUGAAUCUUUCUUAGUCGAUUCGCUUUCAGUAUUGCCACCCUAGCAAUGUGAAGCAUGUUCGCACCAAUCUGAAUGUGAUCUUCAGGAAGGAUUGUUUUCCGCGUGUCAAGACACCUUUCCAGAAGUUCUUGUGCUUCCUUUAAGCUGCCAGCUGACUGUAGAGUCAGAGCCAGCCUUUCAGCUGCAAUUACAGUGUCCAUAGAUUUCCAUCCCUGUGAUAGUUCUACAAUAUGCAGGAUCUUUCUCUGCACAUUCUCAGCUUCUGCAAGACGAUUGGAUUUUAAAUAGAUCUGAGCAAGAUAUCGCAAUCUCCUUAUGCACAUAAUUGACUCCCCUUGGCCAGCUUCCUCUAAUAUCCGAAUUGAAUCCUGAAUAACGGCUUCAGCAUCCUUUUCUUUGCCUUGCAGAUAUAGCACCUUGGUUGUAAUUUUAUAGCAAUUUAUAAGUCAACAGAACACAGAUGACAGAGAAAGAGGAGGGAGGGAGGGGGGGUUGUGGGUUGUUCAAGAGAAAUUUCCAGAUGCAGCAUGAAAUAUCAAAUAUUCUUUUUCUAUUCUAUCCUACAUAACAAAAUUAGCAAAACAACAACAAAUACACAUUGAUACAUAACACAGCAAGCAAUUAUGUUACAAACAAUAAAAUAGUAGAAUACUUUACCGUUCCAAGAUGAUACAACGUAUCUGCAUAAUCUACAUGGCCAAGUCCCAGAACACGACCCUUUAUCUUUAAAGCACGCUCAUAGGACUUGCGGGAUUCAUCUAGUUUCCACUGCACAAGAUAGAACUGUCCAAGGUUGUGAAAGGCAGCCCCCACACGUAUAUCAUCUGCACCAAAUGAUUCCUCCAAUAUUUUGACAGCCUCCAAAUACAAAGGUUCUGCUUUAUCAAACAAUUUCCUGACUCUAUACAGCUCUGCCAAAUUGUUACAAGCAGAAGCAACAUGAGGAUCCCUAUCCCCAAAACCUUUUUUAGCUUCUUCUAGGGCAGAAAGGAAGAACUUUUCAGCUUCAUCCAAUUUUCCCUGCAGGAAGUAUUCCCUCCCAUUAUCAGUAAAUAUUCUCCAUUUAGAAGUAUGUACAUUUGAUAUUACAGAGCCAUCCUCAAUUUUACGUAAUCCAGUUAUAUUAGCCCCCUCUGAUUCUGUUUCAGCACUACUUCCAUUUGAUGCAUCAGCUAAAACAGGGUUGGCAUAUAUCCCAUGGAAAAUGGCUACUAAAUAUUAGCAACCAUUGCCAAAAACAGAUGUCAGUAAUUUAUCAUUGCUAAAGCCCCAAAAGAAGUUGGAGCACCAAAUCAACGAGGAUGCUGAACUGUAACGAAACUAACAAUUGUAUAAAAGACAUGGAUACAAUAUUCCCUUCUCAAGAUUAUUCCCUUGCUCCUAUGUAAUUUCAGGUAAAAAAAAUACAACCAAAAGUCACAUGACAAGGCCCUAGAAUUUAGAUCUAUGAGAUAGAAAAAUAAAACGAUGGCGAUGCUGCUUUUUGUUCCAGAGUAUCAGAAGACACCAAUUUCUCAAUUAAAAAAGAAAAAUCAUGAAUAACAUCUGAAAAUCAUAAGUCUUUGCUGCUGCAAAUAUUAGUGUUGAUGGAAUUGAAAUGAUAUCCAAUAGAUGAGACUGAGCAACCUUUCCACCCUAUUUGUACAAGGCCUAGAUUCCAUCCAGUAAUUGCUGCAAUAUUAUCUCCAAAAGUAUCGAAUCAAAAAAAAAAUCUCUACUAAAACAGCCAGCCACUUUGAUGCAAUUUUAUACAAGUAUCUCAAAAGCAACCAACUUUACAACCACUAUGAUGCAUGACAGCCACAAACCUAAAGUAUAUAGACUAUUUUGCAUAGGAAAUGUGGCAAGCAAUAUGGUUAUGAAAAGUACAAUUAGUAGAUUGAAACUCGAGAACUAGAGUUGGUUCUUGGCAAUAUGGAGAAGUAAGAUAUGCACACAAAUAACAAAGAGGGAAGAAGAAGAAGAAGA
rnacentral:misc_RNA from 1 species